rnacentral:rRNA from 1 species
GGAUUCAUGAGGACGAAACUUCGGUCUAGAAAUCAUGAUGAGAGCGGCGGACGGGUGAGUAACGCGUAGGCAACCUGCCCUUAGCACAGGGAUAGCCUCGGGAAACCGGGAUUAAAACCUGAUAAUGCCAAACAGUCACAUGGCUGUUUGGCCAAAGAUUUAUCGGCUAAGGAUGGGCCUGCGUCUGAUUAGUUAGUUGGUGGGGUAACGGCCUACCAAGACGACGAUCAGUAGCCGACCUGAGAGGGUGAUCGGCCACAUUGGAACUGAGACACGGUCCAAACUCCUACGGGAGGCAGCAGUGGGGAAUAUUGCACAAUGGGCGAAAGCCUGAUGCAGCAACGCCGCGUGAGCGAUGAAGGCCUUUGGGUCGUAAAGCUCUGUCCUAGGGGACGAACAAAAUGACGGUACCCUUGGAGGAAGCCCCGGCUAACUACGUGCCAGCAGCCGCGGUAAUACGUAGGGGGCAAGCGUUAUCCGGAAUUAUUGGGCGUAAAGAGUACGUAGGUGGUCUUUUAAGCGCAGGGUUUAAGGCAAUGGCUUAACCAUUGUUCGCCCUGUGAACUGGGAGACUUGAGUGCAGGAGAGGAAAGCGAAAUUCCUAGUGUAGCGGUGAAAUGCGUAGAUAUUAGGAGGAACACCAGUGGCGAAGGCGGCUUUCUGGACUGUAACUGACACUGAGGUACGAAAGCGUGGGGAGCAAACAGGAUUAGAUACCCUGGUAGUCCACGCCGUAAACGAUGAGCACUAGGUGUCGGGGUCGCAAGACUUCGGUGCCGCAGUUAACGCAUUAAGUGCUCCGCCUGGGAGUACGUACGCAAGUAUGAAACUCAAAGGAAUUGACGG